GGCAGUUAAUAUAGAUCAACUCUUCAUACCAUUCAAACAAUGCCUGCCUGGUUGCAAAGCAACAGAGAACAUUCUCAAUGUUAGAACGAAACUCAAAACUGGCUUCUAUACGCAUUUCAUUAUCAUAAAACAUACAUCUUGCAAUCCUUGGAGCACAUCUACGCAAUCACAAGCCGAUAGCAAUUUACUGGCUGUUUUGAACACCUCGAAAUCACAAAGUUUCACUAAACAUCAAAGGGAGAGUGAUGCAGAUAUCAAACACAUUUUGUUAAAUAAAGGAUUGUUCCUCUACAUCAAUCACCCAAAAUGAUUUUUGCUGCUUUUGUUCUCACAAUUGUCCUUAUUUCAAUACUUAUUCUGGACUGCAGUCUGUGUUGUCGUAAAAAAGGAAUAAUGUAUUUGUUGUUGACUUGUGGGAAGAAAAAGGAGUGCAAAGAUUGCAUGAAAAGCAAGCAAACUAUGAUCGAAAUGAUUGUGUAGAUUGUUGCAAA